ACUUAGGAGACUUACUAAGCCAUACAUAUCACCACACAUAAACAUAUGACUCUUCAAGCUUCGGUGGAUAGUUCGAAUCCAAAAAUUAUUCUCCUAGUCCCAAUUCUCUUGGGAGGACUCACAAUAUGAAUUCUUCUAGUCCCAAUUCUCUUAAGAAGUCUCUUGUUUGAAUCAUACUUUAACUUUUGAAAUAAGAACUCUUAGAAACAUGCAAGCUUGACUCUUUGACUAUCGGAAAUAGCAUCCUUUGAUUCUAGAAAAUAUCAUACUUGGACUCUAAGAUUCAUGCAAAAUAUCAUAC
rnacentral:lncRNA from 1 species